UUGACCUCAAAUCGGGUGAGAAUACCCGCUGAACUUAAGCAUAUCAUA
rnacentral:rRNA from 1 species